rnacentral:misc_RNA from 1 species
AUUUAGUGUAUAAGUAUGUUUAUUACUACACUAACAAACAACUAAGGCCAAAAUAUUGAAAUCUACAUUUUCUCUGUCUAUUGCUACAAUUUGAAGUAAAGAGGUGAGAUCUUGAAUCUGUCAAUGAGCAGCGUGUCUCACACUGCUGAGCUGCGCUGAUCACUCAGGCAGUGGACACUCCAAAAUAUGUUAACAUGGGUGCCAAAAUUAUUCAUAAUGAUCACAAUAUUGACUGAAAUAAUCAUGAUCAUGUGACUGUAUUAUUCCUGCCAGUGUUAGUGGAGCGAUCCACGGUGAAGAUGAGUCUCUAAUCAAAGGCACGUAUCAACAGCUUCAGGAUCCUCCUGCCCUCUGAGGAGUCUGGGAGAUAGGCCAUGCACGAUACACCUUCAUAUGUCUGACCAGGAUUAGGAUGCUCCGCAUGCAGACAGACAGUAGAUGUUUAUCCACCUAAUUAUGUUCUUCCAAGAUGUCCAUUAUUAUGUGGCUAAGAGUGACUCUGAGUCCACAUUUUUAUGGUUAAUCGUUUAUUUAUUAGAAAUAUUAAUUGAAAAUAAGA